rnacentral:rRNA from 1 species
GGCUCAGGAUGAACGCUAGCUACAGGCUUAACACAUGCAAGUCGAGGGGCAGCAUGUCGGUUGCUUGCAACCGACGAUGGCGACCGGCGCACGGGUGAGUAACGCGUAUCCAACCUACCCUUGUCCAUCGGAUAACCCGUCGAAAGGCGGCCUAACACGAUAUGCGGUUCUCAGCAGGCAUCUAACGAGAACGAAAUGUGAAGGAGAAGGAUGGGGAUGCGUCUGAUUAGCUGUUGGCGGGGUAACGGCCCACCAAGGCGACGAUCAGUAGGGGUUCUGAGAGGAAGGUCCCCCACAUUGGAACUGAGACACGGUCCAAACUCCUACGGGAGGCAGCAGUGAGGAAUAUUGGUCAAUGGACGGGAGUCUGAACCAGCCAAGUAGCGUGCAGGAUGACGGCCCUAUGGGUUGUAAACUGCUUUUAUAGGGGGAUAAAGUGUGCCACGUGUGGCAUAUUGCAGGUACCCUAUGAAUAAGGACCGGCUAAUUCCGUG